UCCAGUUCUGACCACGCCAUGGCUCUGGGGUGGGGGCUGGAGAAGGCUGUAAAAUGGGCUCUGUGCUUGUUGGCUCUGGGCAGGAUGCAGGGGAGGCACUGCUUGCCCUGGGGAACCUGGCAGGCUGGUGAAUCAGAGAAGACCAGCCUCUAGGGGUGGGAUGAGGCAUCUAAAAGCGUGCGGCGAUGGGGAAGAUACCAGGCUUGGAUUCUGGGGGAGGAGAGGGCAUUUCCCAGCUGUGGGGAGGGGGUGCCCCUGCGGGGACAUACUCAGUGUAGGAGACAGGGCACAAUCUGGAGACAGGGCACAUUUCCCAGGGAGUGAGCCGGACAAGCCAGAUGCCUAGGAUCAAAGCCUGUAAAUGAUUACAGGGCCAUGCCCAGCAGCCGCCCUGCAGACAGGGGUUGGAUGGGUCCCAUUGAUCAAUGAUGGUGAGAAGGGACGUCUCCCCCCCACAUCCUCCCUUGUGCCCCAGGAAUUCUAGGCAUGGGGCAAGAUGAAGCUGCCCAAGAUGUCCAAUGCUCAGCCAUUCCUUGGUCCUGUACCUCUGAUUCUUUCUCUCUCAGCACCGCCUCCGUGACGCCCGCCAGCUGGUCAGCACACUCCCCCUUCUCCAGCAGGCCCAGCAGCAGGGUGAAGCUGAAGGGCGUGAGGUCACGCGACCGCAGGUGUUUCGCGAUGAGCUGCAGGGAAAGUCACAGGCCGAGUGUGAGCAGUGAGCCCCGGCCCGGGGAGCAACACGGGCAGGGCUUUCUGCAGCCGGCAUCCUUCUGCGUCUUGCUCAGCACGGUCACCACCACCCCGUCUUGGUGUGCAUGAUGGAGGCACAAGAAACCAGCAGCGCUCAGGCAGAGCUCUCGGGGCCGGAUUCUUUCCUCUCCCCAUCGAUCCAGGUCAGAGGUGCCAAAGAGUCUGGCUCAGCUGAGACUGCCCAGCUAGGGCAAUAUGCAGAGAUGGGGGUCUGGAUAAAGUGACCUGGAGGCCAAGGAGGAUAUGGCCCGUUAGUGAUCCACCGGGGAGGAGCAUCCUCCAGUUCUUCUUGCAGCUCCUCCCUCCCCCAUUUCCUCUCCCUCCAUCUGCUCCUCCCCAGCUGCUGGGCUCCGCAGGUGAGUCAGGCCUCAGGGACGUACCGUAAGUAUGAGAUGGCCAGCAGGGCAUGCUGGUGAUGGGGUUCUGCAGCCGGGCCCGGUCUUUGCCUCUGAGCAUCUCCUGCAGCACAAAGCAGAGAGUCAAAGGCAAAAGAAUUUGGGGAGCUGGGUUACUUAGCAAGACGUGGAAUCUCCAAAUGCUGUUUGACGCCCCCACCAACCCUCAGCCCCAGCGUGCAGUGCACUGGGGCCCGGAGCUGGGAAGAUGGCCUGGGAGUGGCCCCAUGGCCAGAAUGCAGGGGACAUUCACAAGAGAGUUCCUGUUUUGCCAUUCCUGAUGGCACAUCUGGAAACUUCAGCAUCUGCCACGGAGCAGGGAAGGGGGAUCUGGGCAGAGGCAAUUUUGUGACAGGGAGCAUUAGAGUCCUUAACAGCUGAGGUGUGACGUUAUUGACAUGAACUGGGACCGUAUAGAUCAUUGUUGC